UUAUUCUGUCUCCUGUGAAUUUAAUUCCUAGCCUGGCCAGAAGGACCUAGAGUGGGUAGAGGAAAUAUCUUCUCCCCCAACAACUUCUUCAAUUCUGAACACCAAUCUACCCCAAAAAAGUACAGACUAGGGAUUUAUUUAUCUACAAAAAACCUUCAUGUCUUUGAGGUUGCACAUUGCUGAUAAAGAAUAUUCAUUGCCCUUCUCUAUCUAUUACCCCUUUCUUUCUUUAGUAUUACCAUUUCUCAAAUAUUAGGUGGGCAUGUUGCUUCCAAGCUAGAGACUAUGUUCCCCAGCCCCUUUGCAGCUAAGUUCUAUAUUCCCCAGCAUCUUUUGCAGCCAAUAGAAUGAACUAAAGUGAUGUGAGAGCCACUUAAGCCACUUCUUAUUUUUCCCUUUCUGAGGGCUGGGACUCAGAUGUGUUGGUGGUGAACUGGCUUAGAAUAUACAGCCAAGGUUAACACCCUAGAUCAUGGAGCAGUAAGCUAGAAUGUGCCUAGGUCCCUGAGCUGUCUUGUGGAGCAGGCCCACCUUGACACCCUGGACUGCCCUCCAACUCAGACUUUUCUCUCAGAGAAAAAUCACCUAUCUUGUUUAAGCCAUUUUUAUUUCUAUCUCUCUUAAAGUAGUGUAGGGGAGGAACAUUACACCCUCCCCCCUUGGUUCUUAUAAUUCUCCUCUUGGUUCGAAUAAUAAAAUGAUGUAAGGUAGGUUAACAGGAGAAAAUCAAAUAAAGAUUAAUACAUACACACUGGAAAUUCACAUAAGCAUGAAAAAUCCCAAAGACAGUUAGGCAAAAGAAGAUACAUAUGGAAUUCUGGACUAAGGAAAAUGGGACAGGAGUCUGGCCUUCAAAGGGAAAGGAGUCAAUUGGCAGGAAGAUAAAAGAGUUAACGUUUGGUAAACAAACGUUUGCUGGGCCGUCUGGAGACACUGGGACACACAGAAGACUUAAUCAAAGGGUCCUUGCUAGGCUCCUCCCUGUCCACCACACCCAGCUUACUAUAUUAUCUUCGUCUACGGUGAGAGUGCCUUCCUGGAACAGGCCUUCUGUCUUAAAUUCUUUUAGGAGGUUAGGGAGAAGGUCAAACUUGCUUUCUGAGUCUUUUGUUCUUAAAUAUAAUCUUAGGCAACAAACAAUGAUGCCAUGCCCUAUGUCAGUGCCUAAAACAAUCCUCAAAUGUAUCAAGAGAUACAUUUUGGGGUGGCAAAUUCUGCUCCCCUACAAUAGCCAACUAGCAUCCUAAUCAAUAAAAUAUUACUAACUAAUUCAUUCUAUGACUUUCCUGCUCACUAUUUAUCUGAGAUCACUUAAAAAGUUGGCGUGUGGCUGAUAAACGUCUUGUUGAAACACAAAGUCUAGUCCACAGAUCCACUAGAAAAAAAUUUUUAAAACUUGUGCUAAUUGCAUUGCACUGCUCUUCAGUUAACCUGCUUAUAUUUUAAUGCAUUCUGCGAGAUAAUUUACUAAACUGAAACCUUGGAGCACAAGUGCAGUUACUUAAAAACAGGAUGUGAUUUUUUUUCCAGGCAACCACCUUAAAUUAAAUUUUUAGGUCUCUCAAAUUUGCUUUUAUCUCUUUAUUUUUAACGUCACAUAAUAAAAAUUAAAUUCUGUUACUAACAUACAAGAUGAAAUUCUGUUACUAGCACAAGCAUAGCAAACAUCCAAGAUAUUUGUCAACUAUAAACAGUGGCGAAAUAGCAGUGUGUCAUAUGUCUAUCUGCUGGGAAUUUUACUUCCAGCACAGCAAGAACUCACAGUGUAUGCCAUCAUUGCUUUAAUCUUCAUCAUCCCAAGAAUGUUCACUAUACCAUCAUUAGUGAGGUAUGAACAAGGCCUGCAACUCUAGACUGAUAAGAUUCACUUUGCAAUUACUGACUGCUUUCUGUUAUUUGUUCGUCUCUUGUAUUGGUCAUCGAGAAUGAGAUUUGCAAGCAAUUUUACAAGAAGCCCUACAAAGGACUCUAAAUUUGAAUUAUUAUGUAACAUUGCUAUAUUUCCCAAGACUUUUCUGUUGUUCCUUUAUCCAUACAUCCAUUCACUGUUUCAUUCAACAAAACUUUGUUGAGCUACAUUCUGGUUCCAGGAGAUACAACAAUGAAUGACACAGUUUUUCUCCCAGUGAUGCUAACAGAGUCUUGGAGAAAUAGGUAAAGAAAAUAAUUAUGUGAGUAAAUGGAGAAAAUUUCAAUCACCAAAAUUUCUUUGUGGAAGGCAUUGCCUUGUUGGAAGAAAUACAUGGCUGUGACCUCCAAAUUUCAUGCUCCAAUUUAAAAAAAUGUUGGUUCAGGGCCAGCCUGGUGGUGUAGUGGUUAAGUUUGCAUGCUCUGCGUCAGUGGCCCAGGGUUCACAAGUUCUGAUCCUGGCCACAGACCUACCACCGCUCCUCAAACAACACUGUAGCGGCAUCCCACAUAAAAUGGAGGAAGAUGGUCACAGAUGUUAGCUCAGCAACAAUUUUCCACAAGCAAAAAGAGAAAGUUUGGCAACAGAUGUUAGCUCAAGGCCAAUCUUCCGCACCAAAAAAAAAAAAGCUGGUUAUAAAGAAUGUAUAUCCUGCUAACUGAUUAAAUUAGUAAGGGAAAUGUGUGUAGAGCUGAAGCAGAGCUGAUUUCUUAUGCAAAAUAGAGAACCAGCAAAAAGGAGGUUGCUUUUAACUUAUUACAUUUCAACAAUCUUUUUCUGGAUUUAGUAAGAGGUUCAACAGACUGGAGGGCAGAAUUCAAAGACAGUGAGAAAAAAGAUCAAGAAGCUCUUGGUAGGUUGGGCCCAAGUUGUGACGAGUCCCCUGUGCUCUAUUCAGUGCUUUGGACCUUAUCCUACAGUGAGUGAAUUGAAGGAUUGUAAGAAGAGGAAUGAGAAUCAGACGUGCGUUUACAAUGGUCAUCCUAGCAGCAUUGGAAUGGAGGCCAUUGCCAUGGAGAGGCAACAACCACGAGGCCACGCUCUAAGUCAGUGCCUUCCUGCCGGGAAGAGAGGAGGCUCUGAAAGGAUCUCUCUGCACCCGCUCGGUUGGUUGUGGGAGAUGACAAAGAACCUGGGAUCUAGGAUAACGCUCAGGAUCCUUGCUGGAAAGCUUGGUGUCGAGUGAACGGUGCAGGAUCAAGAAAGCAGUGUUUUGUCUUCUUUACUUUUCUAUCUUUUCCUUUCUUUUCUUAACAACGGGAGAGAUCUGACCACUAUUUGUUAAGCUGAAAGGAAGGAGCCAGUGGAGUGAUCCCACAGUGACAGCUAACGCUGGGAAAAUUCUACAGUCCCAUUUUAACUACAAGAUGUGGAAGAAGACACAGAAGACCAAGGGGAAUGGAGUCGAUGGGUCAUAGGGCACAAAUGCUCUUUCCCGGAAGGUUUGAGAGGACCCGGGUGUGUACAUCCUUGCCAACAAUAGGUACCAUGCUAUUUUUAAAUCUUUAUUUUCAUUAAAAAUAAUAUCUUGUUAUAAUUUAUAUUUUUCUUAUUGGAUAUUUUCAUAUCUUAAUUUGUCAUUUCUGUCUUCACUUGUUCACUCUCUUCGCCUGUUUCUCUAUUGAGGACAUUGUCUUUCUUUUAUUUAAAUUGUAAGAGCCCUUUUUGUACAGAAUAUCAAUUCAAAAGUUGAGAAUAUAUUAAGGGAUAAAUGAGCAAUAUCUCUUUGAUCUAAAAUACCUGCAACAGGAUGGAGAAAAUCUUAUUCAUUAGAAUUCCUGAGGAGUUAGUAGGGGAGUAGUGUAUUUCUCUGCAGUCUGUACGUGAAAAGGUGGCUUUGGAGCUUGGAUUUUUGGAAGUUUGAGGCACAGAAUAGGCAUGAGAAAGAUAGUAGAGAGUUGUGGGUGUCUGAUGUGGUUGGAAGCAAUCUCAAUGUCCAGCAAUAGAAGACUGGGUGAGUAAAUUACAAUACAAUCCUCAUAAUGAGAUGCUAUGCCAUUGUAAUGCUGUCAGCUUCUAAAACAGCCCCCAGUGACACCGGCCCCUGGUCUUUGUGCCUUCGUUUCAUCCCCUCCCCUUGAGCGUUGGCUGGACACAGUGAUUUGCUUCUAACCAACAGAAUAUGGCAAAAGUGAUGUGAUGUUAACUCUGAGAUUGGGUUACAAAGACUCUGGCUUCUGUUUCGGUCACUCCCUCUUGCUCCCUCACUUCCUCUAAUAGAAGCCAGCUGCUGGGAGUUACUCUGUGGAGAAGCCCACAUGGCAAAGGACUAAGGGUGGCUCCAGCCAACAAUGAGUGAGAAACUGAGAUCUCAGUCCGGUGGGCCAGUAAGCAAUGCAAUCCUGCCAACAGGCAUGUACGUGAGCUUGCAACCAAAUCCUGCCCCCAUUGUGCCUUGAGAUUUCUGCAGGCCCAAACCACAUAAAUUUUUGUUGCUUUAAGUCACUAAGUUUUGGGGUUUUAAUGGAGCAGUCAUUAAAAAUGAUAAUGUAGAUGUGAGGGGUAGGAGCGUGACUGUGUGUAUAUAUAGGCUGUCCUGCUGCAACCCAUGUUUCUGUACACGUAUUUCUGUAUAUACAUGACUGAUAAAUGGUAGAAUUAUUUCAGGAUAAAAUGGAAUCAUGUUGGUUCAUAUGCAAUUUUUUCUAGAUAAGUAGAGCCAGUAUAGGAGGGUAGACUUCUAACCAUCAUCUGCAAAGGAAAAACCAUCUGCUCAGCAGCUGCAUUGACAGCAGGAGCCCCUUGGUGCAUAUUUUAAGAAACUUAAAACAAGUGCCUGAGAAUAUGAAAUAUGCACAAAGUUAUCUAUUAUGGCAUAGUUUAAAAGAUUUAUGAAAAGAAAGGACUGCAAACAACCCAAACUCUAUCAAUAUAAGAUUGAUUAAACAAACCAUGGUAUAUCCACCAAUGGAGUACUACGCAGCCAUAAGAACUGAUGACAUUCAGUAUACUAAUGUACAGUCUCUAGGAUUUAGCUAUUGAGUGAAAUACAGCAAGGAGCUGAACAGUAAGCCUUUUGUGCAAUAAAGGGGAAAUCUAAUAUGUAUACAUAUUUGCUAAUAUUUUCAAAAAGAAGCUAUAGAAGUUAUCCAAAACUAAUUGAAAACAAAACAACCAAAUCAAAUUUGUGGAUUUUCCUUGAACCCAGAUUUGAAGAAAGCAACUAUGAACAGAUUUUUUUUUAGAGGUCAGCCCAGCGGCACAGCAGUUAAGUUCGCAUGUUCCACUUUGGCGUCCCAGGCUUUGCCAGUUCGGAUUCCCAGUGGAGACAUACACACCGUUUGUCGAGCCAUGCUGUGGCUGCACACAGAAUGAGUGACGUCAACAAUAGAAAUUUAUUUCCUCACAGCUCUGGAGGCUAGAAGUCCAAGAUCAAGGUGCCAGCAGGAUCAGUUUCUGGUGAGCACUCACCUCCUAGCUUGUAGAUGGCCACCUUCUCACCGUGUCCUCACACAGCAGAGAGAGAGACAGCAAGCUCUCUGGUGUCUCUUCUUAUAAGGACACUAAUCCCAUCAUGAGGGCCCAAUCCUAAUGGCCACAUCUAAACCUAAUUGACUCCCAGAGGCCCCAUCUCCAAAUGCCAUCACUUGGGAGUUACAGUUUCAACAUACGAAUUUUAAGGGAACACGGUUCAGUCCACAGCACCUUCCUACUCACACGCCCAGACAGGCACAGCUCUCAGCUCAUGGCCAGGUUCACUGGCGGCCCCACGGGCUCAGAGCUCUGCCUUCAUCUGUGUUGUGUACACCCCUGCUGGGCACACUCCUUCCAGGUCUCCUUAAAGGGUUGAAGGCAUUGCCAGCUAUUGUUCUGCAUUUUUUUACAUCUGACAUGCCAGCCGAUGGUCACGCAGAAUUGUCUGCCUGGUUGUCCACGUUACUCCCCAGGUACCAAUGAUGGUUUUUGCUAGUGCUCUGGUUACAAAUUUGCUUGGAGUUUGAACACCCUGCCCUCACCUUAUUUUCCAGGUAAGCCCUGUCAUUUUUAAUGUGGGGCUUUGCGAAAGACAAGGUUUUUCGGGAACACAUACGUUGCAUUUUGCCAGAAAUGCCUGUAUAUGCAAAAAACUGCACAGAAAAGAGUGAGUUAGCAAAUAGUUUAUAUAUAUAAUAAUUCAAUUUUUGUUAAAACACACAUAUAUAUGGAUAGGAGAAAAGAUUUUUGUAGUUGUUUAUACGAGUUUUCUAAUUGUUCUAUAUGCAUUUUUUGUGUUUAUAAAGUAAAUGACAAGAGUUUUUAAAAUUAAAAAGCAAUUAACAGCCCAGAGUCCAACCAUUUAGACAACUUAGAAAAGGCAGAUUCAAGGGCUAAGAGAUGGAGGUAAAAUAAAUUCUAUGACCACCUGUGGCUUAGAAAGUCUCAACACUCCGCUCUGAGGGUCUCUGGACAAGACCUCUCCAGGAACUCCACACCUGCAGAAGGUAAAUUGCGCUUUGCCAGGGUGAAGAGCAGACUGGGCUAAGAGUAGGUGCUGACUCUUCUGCAUCCUAUUUUAUUUUUUUUGACAAAGGCUUUGAGAAGCCAGAAAUCUGACAAUGUUAUUAGGCAACACCUUAAAUUGAAAGGGGGCAAAAAAACUCAGUUUAUCAAAAAACACCUUGUCCUGUGAUAGUCACCUUAAAUAUAUCACCUGCACAAUAUUUCUUGAUAUAUUUUCAACUGUCUUUGCUUUAUAGAUGAGGACAUUGACUCAGAGAAUUUAAGUAGCUUGGUGAGGUUAUGAAGCUGGUAAGAAGAGCAAGAAUUUCAUCCUACUUUUGUCCUUAAAAUUUGUAUUUCAGAGAAAAAUCACACACCAGUAUAGAUCAAAUUAUUUUAUAAGCAGUUUAUUUUCUCAAAAUUGGACUGCCUGUGUGACUUUGGGAAACAUCAGUUACCCUUUUUAUAUUCAGGUAACCCGUAAUAUCUCUUUCCGUUUUAUGAUUCUGAUAAUGACCAUACAAAGAUGUAUGGUGAAUUCUUGACGCUCCUUGCCCCUAGAAUUGGAGGAAGCCCACUUGGUAAGAGGCACAUAGCCAACAGAAGCCCAGGAGGUGCCUGUCCCGUCUCCUCCUGACAACAGGCACUGCGGCACUGCCUCCCCUCCGAAGCCCCACACAGGGCCCUAGGGCACAACACACAGAUGGCAGUCUCUCCUCCCAUCCUUCUCUGUCCUUCUCCCUUCUCCCUGGGCCCUAAAUACAGGUGGCAUUUUUUUAUGACCAUAAAAAUUAUGCCAUUAUGCUAAUCAUUACAUUUUUGAAUUGUUUGAAUGUUUUAAUUUCUAAUAUUUCACAGAUCUCAAUCAAGGUCUUAUGGCAUUGCAAAGCUAACAUCUUAAAGACCUCAUAAAAGCUCACUUUCUCUGUCCCUUCCAGUACUUUGCACUUUCCAUCUCUUCUGAAUUACUAGCUUUCAUACAUGUGUAACCCGCUGACCCUUGGGAAGUUCCGAUGAACACACACUAGUUUACUGUCACUGCUGAGCUAUUUCUCUUCUUUUGAUUCUGCCCCACACAUCCUCUCCCCUUCCAUUUACCAUUCUCCUUGCUGCCCAUGCUGCCUUCUCCUUAGGUCAUAAGCACUGGAGGUCAGGGGCACUGGAAACAGUAGGACUCUAUCUGCCAGCCCUUUCAUACACCUAGAGCACAAAGAUCAUCCUUAAAGAAAGCACUGUAGUCCCCUCAUCAUCUAAUGCCUUCUAAAUUAUCCCCCCCAAAAUCAGUUACAGUAAAGAUAAUUCAAUAUGGAGUAAUGUUACUAUAUUCUGGUAUUUGAAAAAUUAAUAAUACCGGCAUAAAUGAUAACUCUCAGCUCUUCAUAUAGAAAAUCCCAUUUCCCUAGCAGGCCAUCUAGGACAACGGUCUUCAUUGUGCUGGUUUGAGUGCACGCAUAUGAAACCACAGAGCUGGCCUCCAUCUCCCACAGGGUCUACUGCGUACCAGAUGCCAAGGAAGACAAAGAGGCUUCACACAAGAGCCGAAAAACAUUUCACUUCUUAAAAGCAAUGCCUGCACAAGAAAAACUUCUCUUCCAGUGGAAUGAGAUUGCUUGAACACCCGCUUCUCAUAUUCUUCUUUCCCAUGAUUUCGGCUGUUUGCCCAGUUUCCAGGCUCAUCCUGUGACCACAGCUCUGCUGCAACUAUUCAAAUCUCCACAUUUUCUCAUGACUCCUAUUCUCAAUCUUGACCGCCCCAGGGUCCUGCCUCUGGGCUCCCAGCCUCAACCUGAUGCCCACUUGGUGCUUUCUGGUUCUGACCAUGUUCAACAACCAGCCCUGGGUAGUAGAGCAUCAUCCUGGACACAUAGUAAGCUGUCUAAUUAAUUAACCUUGAGGAAUAUUAUUCGGUAUAGUCACAUUAAGGCCUUGUUAAAAAAAAUUAUUCUCACGCUCGUUAAAUGUACAGGAGAUAUUAUUCACAACUAUCGUGAUAGAUGUCAAAGACAAUCACAACAGGGAGGAGAGAUCCAGCUCAGAACCGAAGAUGGCAAAGACAGCUGAGGAUUUGUAGCCAAGGAGCAGAGUUGGGGGACAGGGUGUCGGUGGAUAGAAAAUUACUAAGAGAAGACUUCUAGGGGAGGGGAUUUUUGCUAAGCCAACGUAGAAUUCCUGCCAGAGGCAGAUCAAGGUGAUGAAAUGUUGAGAGUGGGGCAUGGGGAAUUUGAUCAGGUAUCAUGGGUAGCGGAUGCCCUCUCAAGUGACUUAGCAGGAUACUUGCUAAAACUGGACUCGGCAGGCCCAAGACAGGACCCAAGGACAAAGACUAGUCAAAAACAGGGCUCAGGGGAGGCUGUCUACAGUUUGGUCAAAGAGAUAGCCUUUGUCACCUCAAAUCAGCAUUUGUAAGCAAAAAGCAGGAAAGAAGGAAGUUAAUAGGGUUUUAAUGACUGUCUGAUUGUGACACUAUGUCAUUACAUGGUACUUUGUAUCUAUUAUCUCACACAAUCCUAAGUAAUAUAAGGAAGGUGUCAUUAUCCUCACCUUACAUGUGAAGAAAUUGAGGCUCAAAGAAAUUAAAUAAUAGACCUGCGAUCAGAAGACCUGCAUUAGAUGUUGACUUUUUCCUGUAAUCUUUCACCAUCUCUACUGACCUUAAACAAGUCACUAAACCCCUCUCAGUCUCAGUUCAUGUGCAAAAUGGAGACAAUACACCUUCCUCUCUGGUCUUUUAUCAACUAUUACCUAUGCGGGGAUGACUCCAGACUCUCUCUCUCUCAAAUUCUAUUUCUAGAAUUAUAUCUCCAAAUGGCUACCUGAUAGAUGCUCCUGAAAUUAAAUGUCCCAAACUGAACUCAUUAUCUUGCUUCAAAACAUCUGCUCUGCUUCCUAAGUUCUUAGUCUCAUUAACUGCUAGUUAGGUCACUUUCCAGGCUGGAAACGUCAGAGUCACACUCAACUCCAGGCACUCAUGACUCCCAUACCCAGACUCACAUACUUCCAUAAACAGAGACCUAAUUUCCCAAAGCCACCUCCUCCAUUGUACCUUAUGGCCGCUCUGUUCAUGCCCUCAUCAUGUCCCCUUGACUGCAAAUGAUAGUCUUCUGGUAGCCUCUGUACCAACAAUCACUAUCUUCCCCCUUCUGUCCUCUUAAUUAUCAUUACUGUCAUAUCUAUUAAAAGUGAAUCUGAUCAUGUCACUGUGCUGCUUAAAAACUCUGUUGGCCUUCACUGCCUACCAGUGAAAUCCAAAGUCCUUAGUGAGGCCUUCCAGGCUGAUUCACAGUCAGCCUCAACUUCUUGCGAGCACAGCCUCUAACUGCCCCUCCCUACUGAGCAUCUAUUCAGGGAAUUCUCCCUCUGUGUCACCUGUUCCCUCUCUGAAAUGCCCAUCCCCUAAUUUAGCCCCUGGUAAAAUGCCUUCAAGAUCCAGGUCAAAGCCUGAAUUCCUUUGGCACCAUCUCCCCUCCUCUAGACAUCCACAGCACUUUCGUUCAUAGCUGUAGCACAGCCCUUACCCUCAAAGGAAGUUAGUGUCUCAUACAUCUGUUUCUCCCAUCAAACUAGAAGCAUCUUGGAUACAAAGACCAUAUGUGAGUUACACAUGUCCCCUGAGCCUUCCUGAAUCUAAAAUAUCAUUGCACCUACAAUAUAUUUCUUAAGCCACAAGAUUAUAGAAAAUAAGACAGUUCACUUUGCCCAUUAUUUAAAAUAAAGAAAAACAAAGACAACCACAAUUCAAUGUGCCACGUUAAUUCAAACUCAGUAAGGUUCCUAUUCACUUAAAAUUAAGGAGAAACAUUCAAAAAACUUUUCCCCUAGGAUUAAAAGACAUUAUUGUAUAAUUAUAGAUCACAUUUUAAAAAUUAAAGUGUGUUGCUUCUUUGGGGAUUUGAUUUCUUUCAUUCUAUUUACUAUUUUUAUAGCAUGUACGAUAAGCCACCAAAAGUCCUUUCCUAAGUACUUACUAGAAUAAAAGAAAUUUAAG